CCUUAUUCAUUAGGGGUUCCAACAUGUUAGGGAGUUUUUCUCCCAGGCUGAUGCUCCUUUUAGAAAUAAAUGCACUGGCUAUGGGAAUAGGAAAUAGUGGGAAAGAGGCCCCUUAGUGGGGCCGAAUGAAUUUAGGCUGGGGCCCCCUCCCCCUGGUUGUACGUGUUUAGGCACUCCUCACUCCUACCCCUCCCACCCCCCUUGUGGCUAGAACAAUGGGCUAGUAAGUCUCGGCGGGAAAAAGGGGGGCGGGAGGAGGGAGCUGAGGGGAGUGUCGUGGGGGUGGUUUAGGGGUUAAAAGGAGAAGCAGAGCAGGAGAGCGGGUAUUAACUGUUGUGUGCAAAACACAUUAGCAGAUGCACUGUCAAGGGAAAAGUGGGAUAUUUUCUUUAAACUGGCACCGAAUGCGUCAAAAAUAGCUCAUGCAUGCCCUGAUAAUCUGUGGCAGUUGGUGACCCAAUCCUAGAAGAUCUAUUUGAAAGGUCGGUAUCAGAAAAAACUGUUUCUACCUACAAAAGGGAAUGGGAAAGAUGGCAGCUAUUCUGCAAGGAUGCAGGGGGUACAACUCCUUGCAGAAUCGUGAUCAUAGGCCAUUCAUUUGUUUAUUGGGCAAGCAGACAUGCAGCAGGGCAAGAAUGGGGGUUACCGGAGGAAAACAUGAAGACUGCAUGGCUGGGCUGGAGAGGUAUGAGGUGGGAACAAUUGAAAGGUAGGUUGGUCUCUACCCUCCGGCAAUGUGAAUUUGUUGAUCUGCUAGUGAUACAUGCAGGAGGAAAUGACUUGACAGUGGGAAAGACUCCAGCACUAAUAGAGGCCAUGAGACAAGAUAUGGGGGAGGUGAUAGGAAACCCGAAGGUGAGGAAGAUAGCAUGGUCGGACAUUAUACAAAGGGGAGAAUGGAGAGGAGCAAUUGACCCUAAAGGUGUGGAGAAAGCAAGGAAGAAAGUAAACAGAGCCAUGCACAAAAUCAUGUAUUCCUCCGGUAAUGGGAUAAUAAGGCAUGAGAAUAUAAAAUACAAGCAAAGAGGUCUUUAUAGAUACGAUAGAGUACAUUUAUCACGAGAGGGUUUGGAUUUGUUUUUGAAAAACAUUGGUAAGUUUGUGGAGGACUGGUGGAGGUCACAGGCCAGAUAGGUGGGCCAUGGAAAAAGGGAUAGUAGGCACCCUUCCCUAUUUUUCCAGUGGGUGGCGUCAGCACGGCUCCGGAAAUGGUGAGAUUUACAGUGCAGGCCUACCUUUGGAGAGUCACUAGCGUGGAUCAGACUGAGACUGCACGGUCUUGUCUGAGUUCAGCUGAGAGGCUGGGUUAGCGCCACUAUUGCACAUGAUAGGGAGCAAGAGGAUGGGUAACCGUAGGUCACAGAGUGCGUUUUGCCCUGAAUCUCUGCUCCCUGUAAGUCGGUAAAGGUAUGGGCGGAGGCCCAGAGGAAAUGAUAGGAGCCGCAGCUGUGGGUCAGGGGUGCCUAGUCCUUUUGUGAAUUUGUAAAUAAAGAACGUGACCUCCACAGAUUUUGCCACUA